UACGAAGGGGGCUAGCGUUGUUCGGAAUUACUGGGCGUAAAGCGUGCGCAGGCGGCUUCUCAAGUCAGGGGUGAAAGCCCAGAGCUCAACUCUGGAAUUGCCUUUGAGACUGAGUGGCUUGAGUACGAGAGAGGUGAGUGGAAUUCCCAGUGUAGAGGUGAAAUUCGUAGAUAUUAGGAAGAACACCGGUGGCGAAGGCGGCCAUCUGGGAUACAACUGACGCUGAGGCGCGAAAGCGUGGGGAUCAAACAGG
rnacentral:rRNA from 1 species